AACAUCACAAGAAGCCAAGCCAAUUUUCGGAUAACAGCGAAUUUCGCUCGGUUUUUCAUUUCUAGUUAUUUCUAUUUCUGUAUUAAGAGAAGAAAGUUGUGUUAGAAAGGAGUUAAAAUUAAAGAAAUUUUUUUUUUUUAUUUAAUAAAAAUUAUAAUUAUAUCAAAUAAUUAAAAUUUAAUUGAAAUAAACAAGCUUUUAAGUUUUGGGCUAUUCUGCUACAAAACAAAUUGAGAAUUAAAAAUAAAAGAGUUUUUUCAUAAGUUCAUCGUCAUUUGUAAAAAUGGCGGACGAUGAACAAUUUUCAUUAUGUUGGAAUAAUUUUAAUAGUAAUUUAUCUGCGGGUUUUCAUGAAUCAUUAUGUAGAGGAGAUUUAGUAGAUGUAACAUUAGCGGCAGAGGGUCAAUUUAUCAAGGCGCAUCGUCUUGUUUUAUCUGUAUGUUCACCAUAUUUCCGUAAAAUGUUUACGCAAAUGCCAACGAAUCAACAUGCAUUUGUAUUUCUUAAGGAUGUUAGUCAUAGCGCUUUAAAAGACUUAAUUCAAUUUAUGUAUUGUGGAGAAGUUAAUGUUAAACAGGAUGCACUACCCGCCUUUAUUAGCACAGCAGAAGCUCUUCAAAUUAAAGGUUUAACAGACGGAGAUCCUGCACCCUCACAAUCUCCGGCCAAACCAUCAACCCCUGCUCCACAACAAAUACCUGCACAAGCGCAACAAACCGUGACGACAUCAUUACCAAGGCCCAAAGCGAGGACGAGAACACAGGCUCAAACUCAACAAUAUAAAAUAGAAACUGAUGAUAGUGAUGUAGAAAAGGCUACUCAAAUAGUUAUACAAACCUCCACCGCACCGUUGACAACAUCUACACCACAAACCAUACAGGUUCAAGUUCAAACAACACAACAGCAACAGCAAACACAAACCCAACAACAAACCCAACAGCACCAAACACAAACAGUUCAAAUACAGCCCCAAACAGUAGUUUCGGCUCAAAAACGUGUUGCCCAAAAAAGUAUUACACCUCACACCGUAAAAAGAACUAAACUUGUACAACAACCAGAUCCUUUAGAAGCAAGUGAACCAACACAAAUUACAGUUCAAACUGUAACGGAGAGUAAAACAAAUAAUGAAACUGAAUUUAUAGACUUACCAAUAGAAUUACCAACAAAAUCAGAGCCAGAAUAUGCUGAAGAUGCGGGGGGUGAUGUAGAGACAGUUGAACAAGAAGCUACAUACGUUGAAGAUGAUUCUUAUGGUGAUAUGAAAUAUGAUGAAAGUUAUUUUACUGAAAAUGAUGAAACUGGUGCUAAUGUUGGUGGUAGUGGAACAGGUACGGCUGUGCAAGCUACAACAUCAACAAUAAAACAACAGCAACCAUCGUUUUCGGAAUCUUAUGUUAGUGAUGCAGGUGAUCAAUCUGCAACUGAAGCACAAGAAAAGGAGAAUUUAAAAUCGAGUGCGAAAAUGUGUUUAGAGGUAGGAAAAUGCAACGAUUCAUACAACAUUUCGCCUGAAGUUCGGGAUACUGUUGACAACAAACAGGUCAACCUCGAUGUUGCAAAUAAUUUUUCAAAUAAUAAUAUGCAAGAAAGUGUUAAAAAAGUGGAAACGAGCAUUGUUUCAAAACAUCCUGCAAUUGAAGCCUUCAAUGCAAGACAACAAGGGUUGUCACCAAGUUCAACUACGAUUAUACAAGCACAAACAUCAAAACAAAACACAAAGAAAGCUUCUAUUGCACAACAUCUUACGCACGAUAGUUCUCAACAACAAAUUGUUAAACUUCACGAUAAUACACAAUAUAUUAUUAUACCUGCGACUGUAAAUAAAAACGAUCAAGAACAAAUAAAAAUUCUGAAAAGUCCUGGUAAACCAAACCAAAAGCCCCUUACGACAGGAGAUAUUACUUGUAAAAUGCAAGCAAUGCAAAAGAAUGUAAAAAAAAAUAUAUCUCCUCAAUCCUCCUCUAGUAAACUUAUAACACAACAAGUAUCUCCAGUCAGGAACUCCAAUAAUCAACCGAGACCAUCUCCAAAGUCAAUUGUAGACAAUGAUUUGAUUCCUUUGCACAGUGGAUCGAAACUUCUCAUAUCUAAAACAGCAAUCAGCACGAUAUUUACUCCAAAUGUUAAAAAUUAUACAGCUAGACUUAUUAACCAUUUAUUAAAGGCUGAUGGACUAAUCAUAUGUGAAUUGGAAAAUAUUCGAUCUAUCAUCACUCACGUUACACAAGUGUUUAAUAGACGUGGAAAUCCUGUUACAGAAUUAGAUGUGGAGAAAUAUGUUAUGAUAAAAUUACAAAAAUCCGUAGCUCCCACCAAGAAAUAAGCUUACUAUUAGUUCUAUUUAAUUUUUCAUUGUUUUGAUAUAUAAUACAUAUUACAUAAUGUUUCCCAUUAGAUUUUAUUUAAUUAAUUAUAAUUUGCUUGCAAUACUGAAAUAAAAAUUGAAUUAUAUCCAGCCGCUCAUCAACAAAAUGGUUUAAUAUGUAUUGAUAUCAAAAUAUGCAUUUUUGUCUUGAGCGGUUUUUUCGAGUUUAAACAAAUAAAAUAAUAUAAAACUCAUUCAAAUAUUGUAUGGAUUCAAUAUCACAAAAAUUCAAGUCAAAUGACCUAAUUCCGUUACAUGCCGGAAGCACUGUUCUAGUUAACAAAAAUGACUUAAUUUAUAUUUCUCAUAAAAGUUUAAAUGAUCC